GGAUGAACGCUGGCGGCGUGCCUAAUACAUGCAAGUCGAGCGAACAGAUGAGGAGCUUGCUCCUCUGACGUUAGCGGCGGACGGGUGAGUAACACGUGGAUAACCUACCUAUAAGACUGGGAUAACUUCGGGAAACCGGAGCUAAUACCGGAUAAUAUAUUGAACCGCAUGGUUCAAUAGUGAAAGACGGUUUUGCUGUCACUUAUAGAUGGAUCCGCGCCGCAUUAGCUAGUUGGUAAGGUAACGGCUUACCAAGGCAACGAUGCGUAGCCGACCUGAGAGGGUGAUCGGCCACACUGGAACUGAGACACGGUCCAGACUCCUACGGGAGGCAGCAGUAGGGAAUCUUCCGCAAUGGGCGAAAGCCUGACGGAGCAACGCCGCGUGAGUGAUGAAGGUCCUCGGAUCGUAAAACUCUGUUAUUAGGGAAGAACAAAUGUGUAAGUAACUAUGCACGUCUUGACGGUACCUAAUCAGAAAGCCACGGCUAACUACGUG
rnacentral:rRNA from 1 species